UGGAGGCACCGCCUCCGGGAAAGGUAGGGGCUUGUAGGGAAAAGGAAAGGUGCUGCGGAUGGACUUGUGACGCGACAAGCAGCAGCGAUGAGGUCACUGCGGCACCGGAGCAUGUGUUGUGAGGUCAUAACAGCCUUUUUCCUCAAGGAAAAGAAAUGUGGAGAUCCAAAGAAAGCAGGCAGUGAAGUUACUGCACCCUAAGCCCAGCCUGGCCCGGGGAAUUCCAAAGAAGGGUAUUUACGGGGAAACAACUUUAGAUGCCUUGGGCGCCUCGGAAUUGUAGAGCUGCCAAGGCAUUCGUUUAACAAAUAUUGAGACCUGCUUUGUGGACCAAACAUUGGGCGUACAGUCCUGAACAAAACCAAAAGGACCCCCUAGCUAGGGGAGCUAACGGACUGACAGGGGAAGCAAGCAAGAAACAAGUAAAAGGGCUACAACCUGGGAGAGCACAAAGAAGGAAAUGGGUGCUGAAAUAAGAGACCACCUUUGGAAAGUGUAAAACGCGGCCCCCUCAGAGAAGGGGAGAGCUAAAGAGAUCCGAAGGACAAGAAAGGAGGAACCAACCACCAUUCCUCUAGGAAGCCCAAGGCAGCCAAACAAGCAUGUGCAGAGUCCCGGAGUCAGGACUAGCUUGGGACACUCAUGAAAUGGGCAGAGCAUUCUGCCAGGAUGGCCAGAGCAUCACGAGCAGAGACCAUGCAUAGGACCCCUUUGCACCAACUCCGAGGAAGUUACCUAGGCCUCCAGGAAAAGAAUAGACCUGCCAAAUUAGGAAUCGUCACUAGAUUUCCAGGAAAUUCUACUUACCCGUGAGGCUUAAGAGGUUAUCCAGAAAUUUCUCACAGUCCCCUUAAUAAGGUUAGGGGUCAGAGCACUCCAGAAUAUAGAGGGAUGAAGUGACUCAGUCAAGAACACGCCUGGUUCUGAAGGUCGCUCUGUAUACCCUGACCACUAAAAUGCUCAGCUGCAACGUUGACCUCUCAGCACCUUGCCUCACUCGUUACAGAGCUCUUCUCAACCCUGUUUUCUGUCACAGACCUGUUUGAGUCAAAAACCAUUUCCUUUGCCAAAAGGGCAAACCAUACAAAUAUCUCGUUUUCUGCGGCUCUAAAAACUCCUUGCUUCUCUUAAAAGUGGUUGAAAGAAGACCAGGAACAUCAGAAAAUCCUUACAUCGGGGUCAAACCUGUCAACUUAAUGUGUGGGUGGACUUGCUCAUUUUCCUCCUUUUGGUUGACUGAUGUUUGGGUUUCUCGACCCACCUACGUCUGCCUGUGGGUUAACUAAGAUUUUGCUCUGGCAGACCAAGGGCAAUGUAUGCGUGUGCCAGGGCCGCGCUCUCAACGGGCGCAUUGUUACCGCUGGAGAAGUGAAUCUCCCGUUACACAACAUCAGGAAUCAUUUGGAAAGCAUACUUAGAAAACCGACAGCCUGGUUGAACCUUAACAUCUGCUAGCCUUGAGUUUAGACCUCUUUCUCUUCAACACAAGUCAGUAGAAUUCUUCAUACAUAUUUUUGGUUUGAAGAGCUGGGAGAAAAUGUGUCGACCUAAUGACGAGGUACCCAUAGCAUAGGCUAUGCAGCUAUGUGUGGGCAGGGGCGGAAUUAUUCCCCAAGGCAACAGGUGAAGUGGUCAUGUUCCUCUCAGGCUGCACUGCCUGACGUCACCAUCGUCUGCUAAUAACUAAAUGCCUAACGUGACCUAAGCACCAGUCAUCGAGAAGGAAAAAACUCGUAGACACAGCCUCUGCUACGGUGAGAGAAGAUCUAAAGAUAUGGAGCAGUAGUUUUGAAAUUACGUUUAGGAUGAUGGUUUUUGUGUGUUAUAAAGGUGGGGAGGAAAGGAAGGCUGGUCGUUUUGAUGGUUUGGCUCUUUUGGUAUUGAUUUUUUAAUUUUUUGCUCCCAUGUGGAGUUGGGGCUUUUGUUUGUUUUUUUGAGAAAGACAGCACAAGCAUGAAUGGAGGAGGGGCAGAGAGAGAGAAUACUAAGCAGGCUCCACACUGUCCGUGCAGAGCCCAAUGUGGGGCUCGAUCCCAUGAACCCGAAAAUCAUGACCUGAACGGGAAAUCACGAGUCACAUGCUCAACUGACUGAGCCACCCAGGUGCCCCCCUCCCCCCCUGAGUUUAAUAAACAUUUAAGGCACAAAAAUGCACACAAAAAG